rnacentral:sRNA from 1 species
AUAUCUCUCCGUACGGGAAGGAUGAGAAGCUUCGACCAAGGUUCGAUUCGAGCGCAGCGAGAAAGCGUUGCCGCAGGCAACGACCCGAAGGGCGAAGCGCGC